GCGGCAUUAGCUCAGUUGGUAGAGCACUGGAUUGUGAUUCCAGUGGUCACCGGUUCGAACCCGGUAUGUCGCCCCA
rnacentral:tRNA from 9 species